AAGAAUAACUGGGGUCAGCCUGUGUAUCAGCUCCACUCUGCCAUCGGUCCAGACCAGAGACAACUCUUUCUCUACAAGAUCACCAUACCAGCUUUGGCCACACAGUACCCCAACGUCCAUCCCUUCACACCCGCAAAGCUGUGUGCGGCAGUAGAAGAAGCUAAAGUCCACGCAGCCGAGCACACCCUGCAGACGCUCGGUCUGCAGACGGAGGGCGCCGCCGAGUCCAGCUGUGCUACUGCUGCCGCCGUGGCCUCAGUAGCCUUCCCAGGUUACACUCUGGCGAGCCCGGCGGCGGCGGCGGUCGCCUCCCAGCUGAAGCAGGCUGUGUCUCUGGGUCAGGACCUGACCGCCUACACCACCUAUGAGGGCUACCCGGCCUUUGCUGUGGCGACGCGCCACACCGACGGAUAUGGCGUUUUCUAAAGAGGAAAAAACACUCGUAGCUGAGGUCGCAUUCACACCAAGCUGCUUCACAUUUUCCAUGUUAAACUGGUUUUUAAAAGUUUCCUCUUUCUGAUUGGCUGCUUGAAAACGGUACAGGCUCGUCCGCAGUGUGAACUCUGUGUGAGGCAGAGUUUUUUCUACAAAAUCUAAAGCAGAGUCGUGUGAAUGCACCUUCUACAUCGAGACAAAACCGCUGUGGCCGUUGGACACAGACACAUUUUGGACUCGCCAGUCGCCCUGAAACAAAUUCACCUCACCUGACACACUUUCUUUUCUCAUGUUCUCUCUCUCUGCUCUUCUCCCUUUAUUUGAUCAGAAUUAUGUGUACGUACUUAUCUGUGAUCAUUGUAUGGUUGAUUACGUAGCUGGCCUGUGAUUGGCUGUAGCUUCAUGUUUUGAUCAGUUAAUCAGUUUUAGUUUGUUUGCUUGUUUCUAGUAGUAUGUUUACAAUAGAUUUUGUUAUUUUAUCCUACUUUGCAACCCUGCAUUAUUAUCUCCAAGAUAAGAUAGCUGGGAUUUGUAGUUCUUCUCUUAGUGUCUCUAACUUUCAACUGCAAAUAUACUUUUGCACUGUUGUCUACUUUUUGACCACUUCAGUGAUGUAGUUUGUCACAAUACAACAGAAGAAAACUUGAAGAUACAACUGACAUGUGGACGGAGUCUGGGAUUGUAAAAUGGAAGCCGUGUUUUGGACAUUCUGGAUGAUUUAGUUUAACAAACUGUGAAUUUGUAGUUUUUAGAUUGCGUCCAUCUGAACGGAAACCAAAUGAACAUGGUGUCAUAAACCUUUCCUCCCACAUUCUUAACACAGGAGCCCAACGCUUGGACUAAAUGUUUUCACUUCAUUCUGAUGUGUGUUACGUUAACAAAAAGAAGAAAGCUCACUGCUGUUCUGCUACACCGAUGCUCAGCAUUAAACCAAAACGCCUUCCUGUAAACCUCAGAAUCAGAACAGAAACAUCAGCUGUCAAAAUGCUUCAGGGCUUCUUUACCAUGUUUCAGUAUUUUCAUGUUCACAUCGUGUGUCAUUUGUUCCACAUCUACCAAAAAAAGACCAGCCAGCUGCGACCCUAAAACUCACCUCGUCUCCACAAUUUUUCCACCCUGUCGCCAAACAACAAUGACAAUUCGCCAAACCUCAGAUUACGUUCAGUUUAUUUGGAAAGAGCUUUUACGGCUGUCCCUAAAUGAUGGUUUCAAAUAUAGGAAUUCAGUUCAAACAAAUUAGAGCCACUAAAAAUCUAAAUUUGUUUCCUCAUUGAAACCAUCUCUGUUUAACUAUUGAUUUGAAUAAAAUAUUAAAAUGAUAUUUUUCAAAAAGGUGGUGAGUGUGAGGUUGUGUUGUGCACAAGACAAAUCGAUGUCUCUUUUUCCAACAACAACCAAAGCAGACGAAGCAUCAGCAGCAGCACAGAUCAUUCAGUCCGACUUGAGUUUUCUUUCUUUUGUGUUUCUGGAGAGUUUUACAAUUGACGACACACGCUGACAUCCGAGCUGUGAACAUGCCAAAGCAGAGACAGUAUUAAAGUGUGUGAAGCACUUAGAACUUAUUUUUAUACCAGGAAAAAGAAUAAAUAUCCAGAUGCUAUUUGUAUAGAGUUAUUUUGAAUUCUCUUUGGCUUCGUAAUUGACCUGGAAACAGAAACGUGACACUGAAUCAGUACUAAUCUGUAAUGAGAAGAGAGAAUUGUGGGUAUUCUGGAGGGUUUUCAUAACAUAAAAAGAAAACUGCUUUGAUAAAUUCUGAUGUUUUAUGAUCCAUAAUAUUCAAGAAAUAAACAAAGUAAAAUCUGAA